UGAGGAAUCUUCGGCAAUGGGGGCAACCCUGACCGAGCGACGCCGCGUGCGGGAAGACGGCCUUCGGGUUGUAAACCGCUUUUCUGUGGGACGAGAAGCAGGACGGUACCACAGGAAGAAGCCUCGGCUAACUACGUGCCAGCAGCCGCGGUAAUACGUAGGAGGCGAGCGUUGUCCGGAGUUACUGGGCGUAAAGGGUGCGCAGGCGGCGGUUCGCGUGGAUAGAUGAAAUCUCCUGGCUUACCUGGGAGGAUGGUAUCCAGACGGGAUCGCUUGAGGGUCGGAGAGGGGCGUGGAAUUCCGGGUGGAGCGGUGAAAUGCGUAGAGAUCCGGAGGAACACCGACGGCGUAGGCAGCGCCCUGGACGACACCUGACGCUGAGGCACGAAAGCUGGGGGAGCGAACAG
rnacentral:rRNA from 1 species